rnacentral:lncRNA from 10 species
GUGGUCAAUUAAUUCAAUGAGCCAAACUGAGAGUAACAAUCAGGUCUUUAUUCUCUUCUACAACAGUGCGGGCAAGAGGCAAAAGAGGACGGCUCCUGCCUCUUUAUAGCCCACAGGCUGGGAAACGGGAAAGGGCUAGGAGUAGAAAGGCGUGGAGUCAAAGUGGAGGAAAGUGCCUCAGCCAAGGCCCCCAACAGACAGCCUCUGAAUAGAGACACCUGGGCUAGGCAUACAGACACGCAUACAUGUGGGUGCAGGGGUGUGGGGGUGGGGUGGUGGAACAGAAUCUCUUUUUUUUUUUUUUUAAAUGAAUGAGCCUAACCUUCCCUUCCCCUCCCCUCCCCUCUCCUCUGCUCCCUUCCCCUCCCCUUCCCUUUCCUUUCAUUUCUGAGACAGGAUCUGGCUCUAUCACCCAGGCUGGAGUGCAGUGGUGCAAUCUCAGCUCACUGCAACCUCCGCCUCCCAGGCUCAAACCAUCCUCCCACAUCAGCCUCCAAGUAGCUGGGACUGCAGGUGCAUGCCACCAUGCCCGGCUAAUUUUUUUGUAUUUUUGGUAGAGAUGGGGUUUUGCCAUAUUGCCCAGGCUGGUCUUGAACUCCUGGGCUCAAGCAAUGCUCCUGCCUCGGCCUCUCAAAGUGCUGGGAUUACAGGUGUGAGAAGAAAGAUACCCGCAUGAAUCCUUGACUGCAACUCCCUAGAGGAAACCGUAAGGCACUGGCUGUGCACCGAGUCUGGUAUGGGAAGGGCAGCUUCUUCCUUCCAUGGAGCUUGCCUUGUCAUUAUCUCAAAUCACACACAGAUCACACAAAGGAUUUUGGCCUAGAGUCAAACUUCUCAACUAGUUGAUACAAAUUUUGCACCAUUUAAUAAGAUACUACUUUGCUCAGUAGGCUAAGCAAAGUAGUCUAUCAAAGCGACCCAUGCAUAGUGAAGGAUUUCUCUCCAGAAAUGGUUCUCAAAGAGCAAUGUCUGGACCAGCAACAUUAGCAUCACCUGGGAACUUCCUAAAAAUUCAAAUACUUAGGCCCCACCCUAGACUUUCUGAAUCAGAAAAUGUUGGGAUGGAGUCCAGCCAUCUGUGUUUCGAUACUUCCCCUGGGUGACUCUGACAGAUGCUAACAUUUGAGAACCCACUGCUGUCUAGCAGAGUUUCUCAAAUUCAGCACUAUGGACAUUUGGGGCCAGAUAAUUGUUGUUGCGGGAAGCUGUUCUGUGGAUUGUGGGAUGUUUAGGCUAGCCUCUGGCCUCUAGCUACUAGAUUCUUGUACCAUAUCCCUGGUUGUGACACCCCAAAAUAUCUCCAGCCAUUGCCAAAUAUCCCCUGGGGGAAAAAUUGCCCCCAGUUGAGAACCAUUGCCCUAGAGUAAUUACUAUGACCUAGAUUGGUCCAAGCCUAAAGCAUAACAUAUAAACUUACAAAAAUGAUAUUCACAGAUACAUGACAAUGUGACAUAAACUAACCUUUAAACAGUUUACAGUUUACAAAGCACUUUCACAUAUAAGUCAUUUGCUCCCCACAGUAAUCCUAGAAGGAGGGUAAUUAUCAUCAUUCUCAUCUUAGUGGUAAGGAAAUUGAGAUUCAUACAAGUUACUUGAUAUGACCAGGGUUACUGCCUGCUAAGUGGCAGAGAUGGAACUUAAACCUAGGUCCUUCUCGGCCGGGCGCGGUGGCUCACGCCUGUAAUCCCAGCACUUUGGGAGGCCGAGGCGGGUGGAUCGCAAGGUCAGGAGGAGAUUGAGACCAUCCUGGCCAACACGGUGAAGCCCCAUCUCUACUAAAAAAAAAAAAUACAAAAAAUUAGCCCGGCGUGGUGGCGGGUGCCGGCAGUCCCAGCUACUCGGGAGGCUGAGGCAGGGGAAUGGCGUGAACCCAGGAGGCGGAGCUUGCAGUGAGCCGAGAUCACGCCACUGCACUCCAGCCUGGGUGACAGAGCGAGACUCCAUCUCAAAACAAAAACAAACAAACAAACAAACAAAAAAACCUAGGUCUUUCUUUUUCAUAAAUAAAGAGAAUUACCUUAUUAAAUGAGCUAUGGAGGGGUUAUUUCUAGUCUUUAACAAUAUUAUUGCUCUUGGUAAAAAAUUCAGUAUUAGCUGAGAAAUAAUAGUUGUAGAGAUACUCUUAACAGAUUAUUCAGUAUGAAAAAUGGAUUGUGCAUCCAUAAUAAGGGAAGCCUAUCUGUAGAUAUUUACACAAGUUAUUAUAUGAGCUAUUAUUUGGAAAUAGAAGUCUUAUGAUAGUCAGCUGGGUGCAGGGGCUUACGCCUGUAAUCCCAGCACUUUGGGAGGACGAGGCGGGCGGAUCACUUGAAGUCAGGAGUUUGAGUCUAGCCUGGCCAACAUGGUGAAACCCCAUCUCUACUAAAAAUACAAAACUUAGCUGGGCAUAGUGGUACAUGCCUGUAAUCCCAGCUACUCAGGAGGCUGAAGCAGGAGAAUCGCUUGAACCCAGGAGGUGGAGGUGGCAGUGAGCUGAGAUCGUGCCACUGCACUCCAGCCUGGGUGACAGAGAGAGACUCCUUCUCAAAAACAAAAACAAAAAAGUCAUAGUGAGCCUGAGUCAGAGACGUUGGAGAGAUUUGUAAUCAGUUAAGAGGAGUAAAAAAACAGCACAGUCGAACAAACUCAGGAAUAGUCUUUCUCCUGUAAACUGCAGCCCCUGCCUGGUGAGAAAGUGAAAUCACAAUCCUAGCACAUUGACUGAAGGAGAUAGAAGAACACCCAGCACGUCGUAGAGCCAUUGUCCUGCUCUGACCCAGAUCCCUGCAGAAUGAGGUGCUGCCCAACCAGCCUUAGGCUCCCAUGGUGCAGUGUGUAAAAAGCCUUCAGAACCUGAGACUUCCAGAAAGUGGACGGAAUACUCACCCAGAGGGGAGCUGGGGAUUUCCACGGGCACAGUAAUAGACUUUGGCUUCAGAGUGAGCAUCCAA